UACGAAGGGUGCAAACGUUGCUCGGAAUUAUUGGGCGUAAAGCGCACGUAGGCGGCUUGACAAGUCGGGUGUGAAAGCCCCGGGCUCAACCCUGGGAAUUGCAUUCGAGACUGAAUAGCUAGGGUACGGUAGAGGGAAGCGGAAUUUCCGGUGUAGCGGUGAAAUGCGUAGAUAUCGGAAGGAACAUCAGUGGCGAAAGCGGCUUCCUGGACCAGUACCGACGUUCAGGCACGAAAGCGUGGGGAGCAAACAGG
rnacentral:rRNA from 1 species